AUCAAAAGAAAAAAAAAGAAAAGGAAAAGGUCGAACAAGGUACACUUUAGGUACACUUUCUAGAAAGAUACUUUUCAUACCGCCCUCGCUAGCAUAGCUCGAAGAAAUUGGUGGAAUGCAGGAGAUCCAGAAGAUCAUCCGAUUGCACAGUUAUGUUAAAGCUUAAAGCUCAGCUUAGGCAUGCAAUAGGUACAGGCGAAUAGACUUUAUUCAUGUGAAAUCAUUCCCCUGCAUAGUUUCACUUACGGCACACGUAUAUAUAGAUUUUCGUGAUUUUCGCAAUCGCAGAGUGAAUGGUGAAGACACGUGGAGUUACAUAACUUCCAAUUUUUCACUAUUAUCUAAUCAUCCGCUGUUUAUAUGGAUUAAUAAAUCCGAAGAGUGGCGUUAGCUGAACUACCCGAGGGAAAAGUGAAAAUAAAGUGAAAUUCUUGAAAGAAGCAAAGGUACGUUAGUCCACCGUGGAAAGAUAAGGUUCUGACACAGUUUUAUUUAGGGAUAGGAGUACUGGAAAAUCUUAAUACAGCCAAGCCGGCCAACCAAUCUACGGUAUCAACUACUAAAACAACCAAGCUGACCGUUUGGGAGUUAGUGCAGUGCACAUCCACGGCGGCAAAGUGAAGGCUGAACCGUUGACGUUGGGCUAGCUCAAUAUCGGAAAUCAUUUACGGCUCGUGAAAGACCAACCACCAUACACCACUGCUGGACGUCCGAAUUUCAGUUUGAACCUGCCGAUCUCAUAAAAAAAGCCGGAGGACAUAAUCGUCACCAACCUACGAAAACUUACAAAGGAUUGAUGCAUACAAAUGAAUCCGUCAAAGUCAUCUUGGGCCCAACGAUACACCGAUGAGUUUAACCAAUUACUUGCAUACAAAUGAAUCCGUCAAAGUCAUCUUGGGCCCAACGAUACACCGAUGAGUUUAACCAAUUACUGUGAGUACCACUAGUGGCUGAAACCACAAUGUCUAUACACCAAUGCAGGCGUAAGUUUGUUGAAGUAGAUAUAUAUAUACUGAUUUGAAAGAAUAUUACCCCCCUCAAAUGCUCAAAUAAUUAAGUUUUUUUUGCUGAUCCAAGAAGAAGGAAGUCUGUAUAUUUUUGUUUAUUUGUAAAUGUAAGGAAUCGGAUUAUAUCUGUAAUUAAUGUAAAAAAAAA